AUUGAACGCUGGCGGCAUGCUUUACACAUGCAAGUCGAACGGCAGCGCGGGGCAACCUGGCGGCGAGUGGCGAACGGGUGAGUAAUACAUCGGAACGUACCCAGAAGUGGGGGAUAACGUAGCGAAAGUUACGCUAAUACCGCAUACGUUCUACGGAAGAAAGUGGGGGACCUUCGGGCCUCAUGCUUUUGGAGCGGCCGAUGUCUUAUUAGCUAGUUGGUGAGGUAAAGGCUCACCAAGGGGACGAUCAGUACCUGGUCUGAGAGGACGACCAGCCACACUGGGACUGAGACACGGUCCAGACUCCUACGGGAGGCAGCAGUGGGGAAUUUUGCGCAAUGGGGGAAACCCUGACGCAGCAACGCCGCGUGAGUGAUGAAGGCUCUUGGGUCGUAAAGCUCUGACAGAGGGAAAGAAAUGUAUUGCGGUUAAUACCCGUGAUACUUGACGGUACCCUCAAAGGAAGCACCGGCUAACUCCGUGCCAGCAGCCGCGGUAAAAC
rnacentral:rRNA from 1 species